AUGUCCGCCUUAUCCACUGCCCCAUUUUGAGGUUAUAGUCAAGCACACAGUCUGGUUUGAUCUUUAUCUCUCCCAUCAGGUGGUCCACCUUCCCUGUGGCGCACAUGGUUGCAGUAAGGACAGUGGAGAGGACAUGGACGUCUCGAUUGUCAUGCCACUUUAUCGCCAGCUGUUGACCGUUCUCCUUGAACUCCACCUCCCCUCUCUGCAUCUUCCUUCCUCCGAAUGCUUGCAUCCCCUUCCUGUUCGUCCUGACUGUGCCACAAGCCCCUGUGCUGUUGGAGAGGAGAUGCUGGAAGAGUGUGGGACUGCUGUACCAACUGCCGAGAUGAGGAGCCAGCAUGGUCAUCCCCACGGACCCGGACACCCCAAGCCCCUCAUAAUGUUGGAGGUCAGUGUUGGACCCUGUGUAAACUAUAAUGUCCUGGACAAAUCCUGUCAUUAUGUAGCACAUGACAAAAAACUUGACCCCAAACCUGUGCCUUUUGGAGGGAAGAUAUUGACAGAACACCAGCCUACCUUUCCAUAACAUCAGGGACUCAUCAAUGCAUACGUCCUUGUAUGGCACAAAGACCCAACCAAAUGCUGAUGUCAGACUGCUCUAAGGCAUAGCGAUUGGUCUCCUCUACUAUGUCUUCCACCAGCUCCUCUGUCAGAAACAACUUGAAGCACUCUGCCUCAGAUAGAAUUGGCAAGGGGCUUUGCGCUCCAGACUGGGAUUCAUCAAAGCAAACAGCAGGGCCAGGAGGGGUGAAAUGGCUGGCGGCCUUCCAGCUACCACAGAACUCCAAUACUUCAUCCACUGUCGGUCUGACUCCAUCACGACCAGCAUCUUCAAAGGGACCAAGGGGUCCUCAGAUUCAGAGUUCUCAAAGGCUAUAAGGUUGGGGGCCAGCUCCUCACUGUCACUGUCAGAAUCCGAUUCCUGACUUUCAUACUCAGACUCAUUGUCAGAAUUGAUAAAAAUCUCCAGAAUUUUUGCAUUUGUGAGUUGUCUCCUUGUGAAAGUCAUUGCUAAUGCUACAGCUUAGCUCACUAGCUACAUACAUAAACAACAACACUGAAUGGCUCAGAGUGGGAGUGAGAGGUUACGUGAUUGACUGCCAGCAUGCGCCACUUGUAUCAAUAAAUCACCAUCAGAAAAUGUUUUGUGUGGUAAUUAUUUGUAUAUUUAAUGUUUUAUUCACAUGUUUUCAUUACUGGUGACAAAACAUACAUUCCGAUUCUUGCAAAGAUUGUAAUGAACACGUGUGUAAAAUACUUUUUUGAAGUUUGUACUGAUUACGAUGAGCUAAGCUAAUUCCAGCUAUGUGUGGAGCCAUGUUUGUUGACAUACAAUGCAUUCUGGGUUGUUACAACAAAUUGAGGUGAGUAAGGGUUCACACAUUUUUUGAGAACUUUGGGAUGUGAACGUUGGUAGACGACACACCCCCUUCAACAUGUGUACUAUAAAAAGACCAAACUCAUCUUGUCUCCUCUUAUUAUCUUUGGUUUCUGUGAAAAAACAAACAUGGUGGAGCGCAGAAACUACCCAUCG
rnacentral:lncRNA from 1 species